rnacentral:rRNA from 2 species
CAGCGACCGCGGUAAAACCAACACCUCAAAUGGUCGGGAUGAUUAUUGGGCCUAAAACAUCCGUAGCUCGUUUUGUAAGUUUUCGGUUAAAUCCAUACGCUUGACGUAUGGGCUGCCGGGAAUACUGCAUAACUAGGAAGUGGGAGAGGUAGACGGUACUCGGUAGGAAGGGGUAAAAUCCUUUGAUCUAUUGAUGACCACCUGUGGCGAAGGCGGUCUACCAGAACACGUUCGACGGUGAGGGAUGAAAGCUGGGGGAGCAAGCCGGAUUAGAUACCCGGGUAGUCCCAGCUGUAAACUAUGCAAACUCAGUGAUGCAUUGGCUUGUGGCCAAUGCAGUGCUGCAGGGAAGCCGUUAAGUUUGCCGCCUGGGAAGUACGUACGCAAGUAUGAAACUUAAAGGAAUUGGCGGGGGAGCAC